CAGUCGCCGCGGUAAUACGGAGGGGGCUAGCGUUGUUCGGAAUUACUGGGCGUAAAGCGCACGUAGGCGGCUUGGUAAGUUAGAGGUGAAAGCCUGGAGCUCAACUCCAGAAUUGCCUUUAAGACUGCCGAGCUAGCAGGUGAGAGAGGUAAGUGGAAUUCCGAGUGUAGAGGUGAAAUUCGUAGAUAUAUGGAGGAACACCGGUGGCGAAAGCGGCUCUCUGGUCUGUAACUGACGCUGAGGCUCGAAAGCGUGGGGAGCGAACAGGAUUAGAUACCCCUGUAGUCCCUGUCUUUAUACA
rnacentral:rRNA from 1 species